UCAUUCGGUCGAUCCUGCCGGAGCGUGUCGCUCUCCCCAAGGACGAAGCCAUGCAUGCCCGCUCACCCGGGACGCGGCGGACGGCUCAGGACAACGGUUGCACCCCCCGCGGCGG
rnacentral:rRNA from 1 species